rnacentral:rRNA from 1 species
CACGUAGGGUGCGAGCGUUGUCCGGAAUUAUUGGGCGUAAAGAGCUCGUAGGCGGUGUGUCGCGUCGGCCGUGAAAACCUGCAGCUUAACUGUGGGCUUGCGGUCGAUACGGGCAUCACUGGAGUUCGGCAGGGGAGACUGGAAUUCCUGGUGUAGCGGUGAAAUGCGCAGAUAUCAGGAAGAACACCAAUGGCGAAGGCAGCUCUCUGGGACGGUACUGACAC